UUCUUCGGUACGAAUAUACAAAGGUGCUGCAUGGUUGUCGUCAGCUCGUGCCGUGAGGUGUCGGGUUAAGUCCCAUAACGAGCGCAACCCUACUCAUUAGUUGCCAUCAGGUCAAGCUGGGGACUCUAAUGAAACUAGCCUACGCAAGUAGUGAGGAAGGUGGGGGAUGACGUCAAAUCAGCACGGCCCUUACGUCCAGGGCUACACACGUGCUACAAUGGCCGGUACAAAGGGCAGCUACCUGGUGACAGGAUGCUAAUCUCAAAAGCCGGUCUCAGUUCGGAUCGGAGUCUGCAACCCGACUCCGUGAAGUUGGAUUCGCUAGUAAUCGCGCAUCAGCCAUGGCGCGGUGAAUACGUUCCCGGGCCUU
rnacentral:rRNA from 1 species